GCUACGGGGGGCAGCAGUGGGGGAUAUUGGACAAUGGGGGGAACCCUGAUCCAGCGACGCCGCGUGAGUGAAGAAGUAUCUCGGUAUGUAAAGCUCUAUCAGCAGGGAAGAAGAAAUGACGGUACCUGAGUAAGAAGCCUCGGGUAACUACGUGCCAGCAGCCGUGGUAAUACGUAGGGGGCAAGCGUUAUCCGGAAUUACUGGGUGGAAAGGGAGCGUAGACGGUGUUGUAAGUCUGGAGUGAAAGGCGGGGGCGCAACCCACGGACUGCACUGGAAACUAAGAGACUGGAGUGCAGGAGAGGUGAGCGGAAUUCCUGGUGUAGCGGUGAAAUGCGUAGAUAUUAGGAGGAACACCAGGGGCGAAGGCGGCUCACUGGACUGUAACUGACGUUGAGGCUCGAAAGCGUGGGGAGCAAACAGGAUUAGAUACCCCGGUAGUC
rnacentral:rRNA from 1 species